rnacentral:rRNA from 1 species
CCUACGGGGCGCAGCAGUAGGGAAUAUUGCUCAAUGGGGGAAACCCUGAAGCAGCAACGCCGCGUGGAGGAUGAAGGUUUUCGGAUUGUAAACUCCUUUUGUUAGAGAAGAUAAUGACGGUAUCUAACAAAUAAGCACCGGCUAACUCCGUGCCAGCAGCCGCGGUAAUACGGAGGGUGCAAGCAUUACUCGGAAUCACUGGGCGGAAAGAGCGCGUGGGCGGGAUAGCAAGUCAGAUGUGCAAUGCUAUGGCUUAACCAUAGAAAUGCAUUUGAAACUGUUAUUCUAGAGUAUGGGAGGGGUAGGUGGAAUUCUUGGUGUAGGGGUAAAAUCCGUAGAGAUCAAGAGGAAUACUCAUUGCGAAGGCGACCUGCUAGAACAUAACUGACGCUGAUGCGCGAAAGCGUGGGGAGCAAACAGGAUUAGAUACCCUGGUAGUC